rnacentral:rRNA from 1 species
AUUGAACGCUGGCGGCAGGCCUAACACAUGCAAGUCGAGCGGAGUGGCGGACGGGUGUGUAAUGCCUAGGAAUCUGCCUGGUAGUGGGUGACAACGUCCGGACACGGGCGCUAAUCCCGCAUACUUUCAGAUGAGCCUAGGCCGGAUUAGCGAGUUGGUGGGGGAAAGGCCUACCAAUGCGACGAUCCGUAACUGGUCUGAGAGGAUUAUCAGUCACACUGUAACGGGGACACGGUCCAUACUCCUACGGGAGGCAGUAGUGGGGAAUAUUGGACAAUGGGCGGAAGCCUGAGCCAGCCAUUCCGCGUGUGGGAAUAAGGUCUUCGGAUUGUAAAGCACUUUAAGUUGGGAGGCGUUACCAACAGAAUAGGCACCGGCUAACUUCGUGCCAGCCGCCGCGGUAAUAC